ACCAGCACAAGUGGCAACAGGCAGUAGUGGAGAAGGCAUGAAGAGGCCCACAUCUAAAAAUCUCAACUAUUCUAGGAUUUUUGAGCUGCUGACCAUGUGAUUGGUAGCCGACAAUUUCUUCAUGGGUUGCUGAUUUCUCAAGUUUUGCCUCACACAAAAGAGGGCUAGCAACACCUUUGACAGAAACAACCAACAUUCAGUGCAGAUCCGGUAUAUUCUGGUUGUCUUCCAUUUAGUUGACGGCAUGCAAGACUGAUCUGAUGCAUCUACUGCUUGUUGACUUGGUUAUAUUUAUCUAUAAAGUGGCAGUGGUGCAGAAUAUAUCCUCCGCCAUGGAAGGAGGUAUUUGAUGUUGUCAGAUGGCAUAUAGGUCAAUAAUGAGGUGACUGCCGGGGUAAUCUCAGGAAGGGACAAUGACACAAAUUAACUUUGUUGACAAGCUCACGAUCACGGGGAACAAGCCGUCCUGCAGUGUUUCCAUGUACUGCAAGUUGACGACAAGUUCAUUGUUGAUGCCAUGCAAUUUCUUACAAAAUACAUGUGGUACAGGUAUGAAGGCCGACACUGAUUAUCAAGUGGUGCUUUAGAAAGUGCAAGUAUGUGUCACAAUAAUGCCUGGAAAUCAGCCAGUGGCUGGAUUAUUUGAGCUAUUUUGGCGUCUCUGCCAUCCUAUAGUUGUUCAGUUUUCUCUUUUGAAACGAGGCUAUCUAGAGGAUUUCAUGUUGGGGUUUAGGAAGUCCCAUGUGCAUACUUUUUGCAGGCAUCAGUGAAGAUUGGGAGGUAGAGAGGGAUUGCUCAAGUGGAAACAGAUCAAGAACCAGAAGGAGCUCAAGAUUUUGCUACUUCCUUGGUAAUAGCUUUGUGAGAUCAGUUAAAUAUUAUCCAGGACCAUGCACCCGCCCUUGACAAUGGCUUCCAGAAGCUAAGGUUGUAGGGGUGAAUUAAAGUUUGAUUUUCCAGCAGCGAGGUAACUACUACCGAUGGAGAUCAAACUAAUGAGCUCACGAAAAAAAUAGACAUCAAACACCAAAGGAGGUUAGUUUUUACCUGAGUGGAAACAACAGUCGUAUCGUCUUGCUGGAGCCUCCUUUGUCAUGGAAAGUCACCAGCUUCAGGGAGUGCCAGCACAGCCAGAACAGACGCCACCUACGGCGGGGAGUGACAGUGGCAACUGCGCGGAUUUGGCUCACCCAUACGAGAAACGGCGGCGCCAUCUACCGAUUUCAUGGCUCUGAGCUGGAGCGGGAGCUGCUGGGUCGUCGGGAUGCAGAUGGAGCCCCUGCAACUCCGAGCUGCCGGGCCACUGAGAUGCAGAUGGAGCCGCAGCGCCUCCGAGCUGCAGCGGGAGCUGCUCCACCGCCAAGUUGCAGUGUGAGCCGCCGCGAAGAUGGAACCCAAGGUGCCCUCGUCCGCCUCCUCCAGCUGCUUCCUCACUUCAGUACGAGUACAGGGGGAGAGGAAUGGGACGAAGACUGGUGGAUGGAAUCAAGACCAGCGGUCAUGCGAGACACGUGGUAGGCAUUGUGCUACGUGGUGGCAGCUCAUGAAGCAACAAUUGACGUGUGUUGUUGUCUCUCAGCACGCUGUAUCUUGAGGGCAUGAUUGUAGUUUUCUUUAUCUUUGAGGUUUGUGAUGUUACUCAAACUGCCAGCCUUUUGGUUUCUGAUUUUAAUGAAAGCAGGGAGGCCCUCCUUGGGGCGCUUGAGUUUGUAAAAAAAAGACUAGCAGUCAACCACGUGGAAGAAGAUUAGGACAGAAUUGCAACAUAUGUAGGCCCAUAUAGCGGCUAUGCUGGACAACAAGGUCAUUUUCAAUGAUGAUGACACGUGCAGCAAUAGCUCAAUUAAUGUUCAUCACUUCAA